rfam:Ciona savignyi cont_26567, whole genome shotgun sequence.
UCCCAGGUGGUCUAGUGGUUAGGAUUCCUGGGCUCUCACCCACGCGGCCCGGGAUCGAUUCCCGGUCUGGGAA